AGCGAACGCUGGCGGCAGGCCUAACACAUGCAAGUCGAACGAACCUUUCGGGGUUAGUGGCGGACGGGUGAGUAACACGUGGGAACGUGCCUUUAGGUUCGGAAUAACUCAGGGAAACUUGUGCUAAUACCGAAUGUGCCCUUCGGGGGAAAGAUUAAUCGCCUUUAGAGCGGCCCGCGUCUGAUUAGCUAGUUGGUUGAGGUAAUGGCUCACCAAGGCGACGAUCAGUAGCUGGUCUGAGAGGAUGAUCAGCCACAUUGGGACUGAGACCCGGCCCAAACUCCUACGGGAGGCAGCAGUGGGGAAUCUUGCGCAAUGGGCGAAAGCCUGACGCAGCCAUGCCGCGUGAAUGAUGAAGGUCUUAGGAUUGUAAAAUUCUUUCACCGGGGACGAUAAUGACGGUACCCGGAGAAGAAGCCCCGGCUAACUUCGUG
rnacentral:rRNA from 1 species